UACAGAGGUCUCAAGCGUUGUUCGGAUUCACUGGGCGUAAAGGGUGCGUAGGUGGUAGGGUAAGUCGGAUGUGAAAUCUCCAGGCUCAACCUGGAAACUGCAUUGGAAACUACCUUGCUAGAGGGUUUGAGGGGGGACUGGAAUACUUGGUGUAGCAGUGAAAUGCGUAGAUAUCAAGUGGAACACCAGUGGCGAAGGCGAGUCCCUGGAAAAUACCUGACACUGAGGCACGAAAGCUAGGGGAGCAAACAGG
rnacentral:rRNA from 1 species